rnacentral:rRNA from 1 species
UACGUAGGGUGCGAGCGUUGCCCGGAUUUAUUGGGCGUAAAGGGCGCGUAGGCGGUGCCGUACGUCCGUUGUGAAAUCGCUCGGCUCAACUGGGCGGGGUCAGCGGAUACGGUGGCACUUGAGCAAGCUAGGGGGCAAUGGAAUUCCCGGUGUAGUGGUGGAAUGCGUAGAUAUCAGGAAGAACACCAGUGGCGAAGGCGGCUGACUGGACAUGUAUUGACGCUGGAGGUGCGAAAGCGUGGGGAGCAAACAGG